CUAUGCGCAGGGACCGGGAAGGGCCGGACCACAAGGGUCUAUUGUACGUAGUCCUCUUACCUUACAUUUCUGUGCUGUUUCCACGGCUCGAACCCAUGACCUCCUGAUCGCAUGGCAAUAACUUUACCGGUUAUGCCAAGGCUCUGCUUCUAAAUAUGUCUAUAUACAGUGUGUAGCUUUGAUAUCAUCUGAACAGAUUUUGUGUCUGAUCAAGUCACUGCCAAACACAAUUAUAUCAAAUCUGCUUGAUUCUAUAGUUUGGUUCUACGGCACAAUGUCUGUGAUAUAAUCUGCUAACACUUUUCUGUUUUCUUUGCAGAAAUCUGAGCAUAUGGUGUCAAGGUUAAUGCGAAAGGAAUAAGCGUAGUUAGUAUAAGCAGUUCGUGUCAAGCUGUUGAUUUUUUCAACAAUAAAGAUUGAUCAUGUGCUUAUACUGAACUUCUUUUCUUAUCUUGGCUGAACAAUGGUCACUCGUGUUAGUCGAGUUUUGAAUUGGCAAAUGCAAAUAUAUGGUAUUUAUAUGUAUGUAUUUGAGUUUCCAGGAUUUGAUAACUUUCAUAUAUAUGUGUUUGGGUUGCCAGAUAUUAUGUUCUACAUGUAUGUGUGUUUAAUGAAUGAAAACUCAAUGCACUGUUUUUGUGUGCAUAGCUGAAUAACGUCUUGUGAAGUGCACAAAUAGCCAUUUUCAGGAACGCUAUUUAAGGAUUAGUCAAUACUUAUUUGUUCUGAAAUUUUAAACUAGAAAUCUUAGCUUCAGGACUACUCAUGACAUAUUUGUCCUUUAGAGUGGUUACCUGAUGUCAUUUCUACAAGCA
rnacentral:lncRNA from 1 species